rnacentral:rRNA from 1 species
UACGUAGGCAGCGAGCGUUGUUCGGAGUUACUGGGCGUAAAGCGUGCGUAGGCGGUGGCCUAAGUCUGUUGUGAAAUCUCCCGGCUUAACCGGGAGGGUGCGGCGGAAACUGGGUUGCUGGAGUGCGGGAGAGGUAAGCGGAAUUCCCGGUGUAGCGGUGAAAUGCGUAGAUAUCGGGAAGAACAUCGGUGGCGAAAGCGCUCUACUGGACGGUAUCUGACACUGAGGGACGAAAGCUAGGGGAGCGAAUGGG